rnacentral:tRNA from 1 species
UAGCUCAAUCAGUUGAGUGUAGCGCUAACAACACUAAGGUCGCGGGUUCGAUUCCCGU